AGAGUUUGAUCCUGGCUCAGAACGAACGUUGGCGGCGUGGAUUAGGCAUGCAAGUCGAGCGGGAUUAACUUGUUUCAAUCCUUCGGGAGAGAAGCUUGUUAUGAGAGCGGCGAACGGGUGAGUAAUGCAUGGGGAAUCUGCCUCUAAGUUGGGAAUAGCCUUUGGAAACGAAGGGUAAUGCCGGAUGUGAUCGUCUACCGCAUGGUAGACUGUUUAAAAGCUGGGAUCUUCGGACCAGUUGCUUAGAGAUGACCCCAUGUCCUAUCAGCUAGUUGGUGAGGUAAUGGCUCACCAAGGCUUACGGGUAGCCGGCCUGAGAGGGUGAUCGGCCACACUGGGACUGAGAACUGCCCAGACUCCUACGGGAGGCUGCAGUCGAGAAUCAUUCACAAUGCGCGAAAGCGUGAUGAUGCGACGCCGCGUGGAGGAAGACGGUCUUCGGAUUGUAAACUCCUGUCAGCAGGGAAGAACAAUGUCUUUAUUAAUAGUAGGGGCAUUUGUCGGUACCUGCAGAGGAAGUCACGGCUAACUCUGUGCCAGCAGCCGCGGUAAUACAGAGGUGGCGAACGUUGUUCGGAUUUACUGGGCGUAAAGGGUCCGCAGGCGGAUCGGUAUGUCGGAUGUGAAAGCUCACAGCUCAACUGUGGAACUGCAUUCGAAACUGCCGACCUAGAGUACUGGAGGGGAGAAGGGAAUUCUUGGUGUAGCGGUGAAAUGCGUAGAUAUCGAGAAGAACACCGGUGGCGAAGGCGCUUCUCUGGACAGAUACUGACGCUCAUGGACGAAAGUUAGGGUAGCGAAAGGGAUUAGAUACCCCUGUAGUCCUAACCGUAAACGGUGUGCACUAGUCGUGGGUGGUUUACCCCCAUCCGUGACUGAGCUAACGCAUUAAGUGCACCGCCUGGGGAGUACGGUCGCAAGAUUAAAACUCAAAGGAAUUGACGGGGACCCGCACAAGCGGUGGAGCAUGUGGCUUAAUUCGAUGCAACGCGAAGAACCUUACCUGGACUUGACAUAUAGCUGCAUCCGACCCGAAAGGGACGGAGCCUUCGAGGGUGCUAUACAGGUGCUGCAUGGCUGUCGUCAGCUCGUGCCGUGAGGUGUUGGGUUAAGUCCCGCAACGAGCGCAACCCCUAUGUUUAGUUGCCAUCAUUUAGUUGGGCACUCUAGACAGACUGCUGGUGAAAGCCAGAGGAAGGUGGGGAUGACGUCAAGUCAGUAUGGUCCUUAUGUCCAGGGCUGCACACGUGCUACAAUGGGCAGUACAGAGGGAAGCCAAGCCGCGAGGUGGAGCAAAUCCCCAAAACUGUCCCCGGUUCGGAUUGGAGUCUGAAACUCGACUCCAUGAAGUUGGAAUCGCUAGUAAAGGCGUAUCAGCUACGACGCCUUGAAUACGUUCCCGGGUCUUGUACACACCGCCCGUCACAUCAUGGAAGUCUGUUGCACCCAAAGUCGCUGAUCUAACCUGUUUACAGGAAGAAGGCGCCUAAGGUGUGACCGGUAACUAGGAUGAAGUCGUAACAAGGUA
rnacentral:rRNA from 1 species